rnacentral:rRNA from 1 species
GACAGAGGGUGCAAACGUUGUUCGGAAUUACUGGGCGUAAAGCGCGUGUAGGCGGCCAUCUAAGUCGGGCGUGAAAUCCCACGGCUCAACCGUGGAAGUGCACUCGAAACUGGAUGGCUAGAGUCCUGGAGAGGAAGGUGGAAUGCUUGGUGUAGAGGUGAAAUUCGUAGAUAUCAAGCGGAACACCGGUGGCGAAGGCGGCCUUCUGGACAGUGACUGACGCUGAGACGCGGAAGCGUGGGGAGCAAACAGG